GACAGAGGUGCCGAGCGUUAGGCGGAAUCACUGGGCUUAAAGCGUGUGUAGGCGGAUGGGUAAGUACCUUGUGAAAUCCCACGGCUCAACCGUGGAACUGCUCGGUAUACUGCUCGUCUUGAGCCAACUAGGGGCGACCGGAACAAACGGUGGAGCGGUGAAAUGCGUAGAUAUCACGUGGAACGCCAACGGUGAAGACAGUCUGCUGGGGAUUUGCUGACGCUGAGACACGAAAGCCAGGGGAGCGAACGGG
rnacentral:rRNA from 1 species